UACAGAGGGUGCAAGCGUUGUCCGGAUUUAUUGGGUUUAAAGGGUGCGUAGGUGGCUUUUUAAGUCAUGGGUGAAAGCCCGCAGCUCAACUGUGGAAUUGCCCGUGAUACUGAGGAGCUUGAGUGCGGUUGAGGCAGCUGGAAUUGGUGGUGUAGCGGUGAAAUGCAUAGAUACCACCAGGAACACCGAUUGCGAAGGCAGGUUGCUAAGCCGUAACUGACACUGAGGCACGAAAGCGUGGGGAGCAAACAGG
rnacentral:rRNA from 1 species